CCGUGAUUGGCUAAUUCCGGGAUUCUCCUGUAGGCCAAUCAGGUUGUGGAUUCACUUCCACCUGGAGCUGGAUUGGGUGGCUCCUGUGGACCAAUCAGACUGCUGCGUUUUGGAUCCUAUUGUUCUAGGACCAAUCAGACUGCUGCAAUUUGGGUCCUAUUCAACUCAGUACUUAACACUUUCCUUCCUUCAUUUGUGUUUCAGCUGCAGCACCUGACGGGUGCAAUUUCACACCUGGUGUCUGCCUUCCUUUUACCACAUCAGAACCAUUUGCUGGCAGAAGGCUUCCCGUUGCCUCUGGUGCAACAGCUUGGCGUCGACCAUCUCAACGCUGCCCCUGGCCAGAACGCUCUUCUGCUCUUCGCUCCCCCCUUGGCUUCCUGAAUGUGGGAAUCAAGAUCCUGACCUGAAUCAGACGGAAGGAUCCUGGAACAAGAUGGAUAAUGCUGCUGCUGCUGCUGCUGCUUCCCUUCCCUUCCCCCUUUACGCCUCUGCUUUCGUAGGAUUGUAGAAUGGGAAGAGACCCCGAGGGUCAUCUAGUCCACCCCCUGCAAUGCACGGGUCACAACUGAAGCACCCCUGACAGGCAGAGCUUUGGACCUCUGGAGCCUGUGACAUCCCUUGGCUCUCAUUCUCUCUCUCUCUGCCUCAGGGGCUCGAAAGCAGCAAUGGAUCCUUUGCAAUGCGAUUUCUGGAGCUAGAUUUGCCUCCUGCCAUUUGGGAAUGGCACAAAUGUCAAACCUAAAAGUGUUGGCACCUGAGUCUUGAGACCACAGGAAAUCCCGUAAGGCUGGCGUCAAAUCCUGCUCUUGGAAAACCUUGCCUUGAAUGUCUGUUGUUUGAAAGCAGUGGAGUGUUUGGCCCAGAGCCUUGCUGCAGGGUUCCCUCUGUGAAUUGCUAAGAUGUUCUGCUUGCUUAUCUUGCCUUGAUAAUAAAACAUUUCUCUUCACAAC
rnacentral:lncRNA from 1 species